rnacentral:pre_miRNA from 1 species
UAUCUACUCCCUCCGUUUGGAAUUACUUGUCUCGGAAAUGGAUGUAUCUAGAACUAAAAUAUGUCUAGAUACAUCCAUUUCCGCGACAAGUAAUUCCGAACGGAGGGAGUACUCU